AUACGGAGGGUGCAAGCGUUAAUCGGAAUUACUGGGCGUAAAGCGCGCGUAGGCGGUUUGGUAAGUCGGAUGUGAAAGCCCCGGGCUCAACCUGGGAAUUGCAUUCGAUACUGCCAGACUAGAGUAUGGUAGAGGGAAGUGGAAUUCCGGGUGUAGCGGUGAAAUGCGUAGAUAUCCGGAGGAACACCAGUGGCGAAGGCGACUUCCUGGACCAAUACUGACGCUGAGGUGCGAAAGCGUGGGGAGCAAACAGGAUUAGAAACCCCGGUAGUCC
rnacentral:rRNA from 1 species